UUUACCUUGAUGAUAUUAAACCAUAGAAAACGGUGUGGCUUAUCCAAGCGCCAAAGUGGUGCAUACCUGGAAACCAUCCAAUCCCAGGUUUGGUGAGACUUAAGAAAUAAUAUUUGUAGACAAAAAGGUAAAUACUUAGAAAUGUUAACAUGUUUUUUGAUUUUUUCGUGAGAUCAUGGACUAACAUCUGUGGUAAAAUAAAUGUUCUUCGAUGGAUAAAAAUAUAAGCUACAUGUAGGAAGAACUAUUUGAAGUCUUUGGGUGAUGAAUGCAAUGUUGGCGAAUGGAAGACUCUAUUUAUUUUAUGGCACAGAUUAAUUUAUUUUAUUAAUAUAUAAAUAUUAAAUUAACUUUUUGAUUUAUAUCAACUAUUUAACUAUUAUACAAAGUAACUGUUAAAUAAUAAAAUCUUGGGAUAAUUAAGAUAAGAAAUACUUUUUAUCUAGAAAAUAAGAAUAUUUUUUUUUAAAUUAUUAUAUUUUACAUAUUUAAAAUAAUUAUAUAUUGUUUAAGUUUCUACAAUUUUAACAAACGUAUUAAUUGUAUAGAUUGUAUACCUUUUGAGUGUUGGUGACCAUAUUUGUUUGUACGGCUUAAACUUUCAAUAAAAACUUAUUUAUUAAUAAGGCAUCGUAACAUGUUUCCAGCUCAUCGGAAUAACCAAGAAAGUCAUCAGAUCCAACAUGCAAAAGAGAUUAAAAAAGGGGACGAGAUAUAUGUGACAGAUUAAUAAGAGAAACUAAUGUAACUGAG